GAUGAACGCUAGCUACAGGCUUAACACAUGCAAGUCGAGGGGAAACGACAUCGAAAGCUUGCUUUUGAUGGGCGUCGACCGGCGCACGGGUGAGUAACGCGUAUCCAACCUGCCUAUCACUUGGGAAUAACCUUGCGAAAGUAAGACUAAUACCCAAUGACAUCCCACGAAGACAUCUGAAUGGGAUUAAAGAUUUAUCGGUGAUGGAUGGGGAUGCGUCUGAUUAGCUUGUUGGCGGGGUAACGGCCCACCAAGGCAACGAUCAGUAGGGGUUCUGAGAGAAAGGUCCCCAACAUAGGAACUGAAACACGGUCCAAGCUCCUACGGGAGGCAGCAGUGAGCAAUGUUGGGCAAUGGGCGAGAGCCUGAACCAGCCAAGUAGCGUGCAGGAUGACGGCCCUAUGGGUUGUAAACUGCUUUUAUAAGGGAAUAGAGUGGGUCUCGUGAGACUUUUUGCAUGUACCUUAUGAAUAAGGACCGGCUAAUUCCGUG
rnacentral:rRNA from 1 species